rnacentral:rRNA from 1 species
AAAAACAUUUCUUAUAAAAUUUUUAUAAGUAAAAUCUGCUCCAUGAUUAUAAAUAGCCGCAGAAUUUUAACUGUGCUAAGGUAGCAUAAUCAUUUACCUUUUAAUUAAAGGUCUGCAUGAAUGAUUAUACAAUUAAAUUAUUUUUUUAUAAAUAUACAUUUAAUUUAAACUAAAAAUAAAAAUGUUUUUAUAAAUAAAAAAGACGAUAAGACCCUAUUGAACUUCACCACUGUUUAGCUGGGGAAGCUAAUUAAACACAAUUUUAAUUCUUAACAAAAAAUAAAUUUCUAAUAAAAUUAUCUUAAAUAAGUUACCAUAGGGAUAACAGCGUAAUAUAAUUUAAAAGCUCAUAUUAAAAAUUAAGUUUACGACCUCGAUGUUGAAUU